GACGAACGCUGGCGGCGUACCUAAUACAUGCAAGUCGAGCGAACAGACGAGGAGCUUGCUCCUCUGACGUUAGCGGCGGACGGGUGAGUAACACGUGGAUAACCUACCUAUAAGACUGGGAUAACUUCGGGAAACCGGAGCUAAUACCGGAUAAUAUAUUGAACCGCAUGGUUCAAUAGUGAAAGACGGUUUUGCUGUCACUUAUAGAUGGAUCCGCGCCGCAUUAGCUAGUUGGUAAGGUAACGGCUUACCAAGGCGACGAUGCGUAGCCGACCUGAGAGGGUGAUCGGCCACACUGGAACUGAGACACGGUCCAGACUCCUACGGGAGGCAGCAGUAGGGAAUCUUCCGCAAUGGGCGAAAGCCUGACGGAGCAACGCCGCGUGAGUGAUGAAGGUCUUCGGAUCGUAAAGCUCUGUUAUUAGGGAAGAACAAAUGUGUAAGUAACUAUGCACGUCUUGACGGUACCUAAUCAGAAAGCCACGGCUAACUACGUG
rnacentral:rRNA from 1 species